UGGAGGCUUGAUACCUCCCUGGUGAAUCCAAUGUGUGAGUCAUGACGGUGAGAACACUUGGAAAAAGAAACAGGGUCAUGGUGAUGCCUUUGAGCGUCCCCGCUUGCUGAGGACUGGAGCCUGGGAACCGCCUGCCCAGGUCCCUUCUCUGCUCUCUGCCCUACGAGCCAUCCAAAAGAUGCCAGGCUCAAGUCUGUCCUGCUUAGGAGCAGUGUUUAAGUCCAUCGGUGGGAAACGUGCACCAGAGGUGGCAACGUGCAGCCACUGCCGCCCAUCGGGAGGGGAGAUCUGCCCUCACGGCCAGAGCCGCAGGCCAAGCACCUCAGUCGUUCUUUGCACAAAUAUUGACGGAGCAUCUCCCGCAAGCCAGGCCUACAUGGGCACCAGGGACUCACUGGUGACAAGACAAACGGACCCCUGGCCUCUCCGAGUGGAAUGGAGCAGCACGGCCAGGAAAAGCAGUCAGCUUCCACCUGCACCCAUAUCUGAACCUCCGGUUUCCGGCCCAAGCCUCCCCAUCACUCCUGGCCCGAGAGCCCAUGGAGGACUUGUAAGCUUCAGGUACCCUGAGAAAGGCUUUGGGCUUGUCUUCAUCCCGAAGUCAGAGAUACUGGUCCUCACUUCUCCGGGCGGCUGUGGAACACCAGAUAGUAAAAUGCAUGUAAAUGCACUCAGCACAGGGGCUGCUGGCACUUGGUAAGUGCUUAAUAAUUGCACCGUGUUGUUACUGGUAUUGGCAGGUUGGUGUUCAGGGCAGCCAUCACUCCCUCAUCCAGAGGAUAAUGUGGGUCCUGUACUUCUCCGGGGGACUCAGGACUCAGACCAUCAAGAAACUCUCUCCACCUAGAACCAGAUGGUUAGGAAGGCCCCUCCCCCCACCCCGGGGCCCCACCAGACCAAAUGGUCACUUAUCUUGGUCACAACUGCAAAUUCUUCAUCGUAAACUCCCCUGCCCCGCCUCGAACCUGGCAGCGGAUCCCCAUCAAGCCAGGGUGGGACCCUGUGUGGUCCGAGAUCACCUCUAAGUGGGUUUUCCCGCCCUGCCUCUGCCCUGCCUGCCCUCCGCCCCCGGCAGCCAGGGCAGCACCAAUCCUCCGUCGGGAUUUCAAGGUGACCAGAUCCGUUUCCCAGCCUGCCCCCCACGGAGUGGCAGUGCUGGGGGAUGCCUGACAAGAGUGCUGACCUUCUAGAAGCAAGGACUUCGUGUUUCAGAAUCCCAUUUGUCCCUCCGUAGAAAACCAACCUCUAACACCCCAGAGCUGAGCCAUCAGAACCUUCCCUUUCGCCCCGAGCUAAUCCCUCCCCAAGACUUCGGCCUGACAAGAAUAGUCAGGGUUUAGAGAACACCUUCUCUAUCUCACACUUCCAGACCCAGUGCCUCAUUUUUCAAAUUCUGGUGUAUUUUGGGUAGAAAGGAGGGAAAUGUACAUCUGGCUGACGUGAAAAGAUCGGUGUGGUUGUAAUGUAAAGAUGGAGUGGAAUUUGAAUUUGGUUUUUUUUUUGAAGAAUAUUUAAGCUCUAAAAAUAGACAUAGGUCUCGGUCUCAGGACCACCGGGAUUCUGUUUCCAGUUUCCCGAAAUGUCCCAGCUGAUAACAAGCAUGACUGUUUCAUGAGCACCUACUGUGUGCACUGUACUGUGGCGAGUGCAGUAGGGGGAAAAGAAGAGGGUGAAAACUAAAGCAGAGGCCUUUGCUCAGG
ensembl:lncRNA